AACGAACGCUGCGGCAUGCCUAACACAUGCCAGUCGCACGAGACCUUCGGGUCUAGUGGCGCACGGGUGCGUAACGCGUGGGAACCUGCCCUUAGGUUCGGAAUAACUCCCCGAAAGGGGUGCUAAUACCGGAUAAUGUCUUCGGACCAAAGAUUUAUCGCCUUUGGAUGGGCCCGCGUUGGAUUAGCUAGUUGGUAGGGUAAAAGCCUACCAAGGCGACGAUCCAUAGCUGGUCUGAGAGGAUGAUCAGCCACACUGGGACUGAGACACGGCCCAGACUCCUACGGGAGGCAGCAGUGGGGAAUAUUGGACAAUGGGCGAAAGCCUGAUCCAGCAAUGCCGCGUGAGUGAUGAAGGCCUUAGGGUUGUAAAGCUCUUUUACCCGGGAUGAUAAUGACAGUACCGGGAGAAUAAGCUCCGGCUAACUCCGUG
rnacentral:rRNA from 1 species